CUGAAGGUGCCAAUAUUUUAACCUAAUUUUCCCACAUCAUCUGCUCACCUCUCUCUCAUUCGACCGUCUCUCUCUCUCUCUCUCGCACCUUCUCUCUCACUCACUCACGGCAGGGUUAUUGAGAACCAAGAAAACGACAUGAACGGUGGGCUCGUGGUCUUGGGUGAAUGACGUGAACAACGGAGGCUCGCGGGUCUACGCCAAACGGCGUGAAUGGUGGGGCUUGAUGGGUCUUCAAUGAACGAUGGGGGAUUCAAUAGAAAGAAAAGGGGUUAAGGAUUCUGGUUGUGGUAUUCACCAGCAAGAUAAAACCCAUUUAUUCACCAAGUUUGUACAGCCACAAAAUGGAUCUGGUCGGACUGCUAACAGUGGUGCUGGACUAGGGCUCAUAUUUAUAAAUGGUAAAGGCAAGGGCAAGCUUGAUCAGCCCUGAUUCGGAGAGCUCUGAGAGCAGAAUGUACAUGAUCAGCUGCUCAGCCACCACGGUUGAGAGGGAGACAGGAACAGGAGAACCAGAAACAUCUGUUUUGCCCUUAGAGUGGCUAAUGGUUGUUUGAACUCUGGAAAUUUUGUAAACUGACUUUUGAACGCUAUUCCUUUUUGGGAUCCUAUGUGUAAAAAAUGUUUAGUUAUAUGAAAUGAACCAUUUGAGACCAAAA